rnacentral:rRNA from 1 species
UACGUAGGGUGCAAGCGUUGUCCGGAAUUAUUGGGCGUAAAGAGCUCGUAGGCGGUUUGUCGCGUCUGCUGUGAGAACUCAGGGCUUAACUCUGAGCUUGCAGUGGUACGGGCAGACUAGAGUGCGGUAGGGGAGACUGGGAAUUCCUGGUGUAGCGGUGAAAUGCGCAGAUAUCAGGAGGAACACCGGUGGCGAAGGCGGGUCUCUGGGCCGUAACUGACGCUGGAGG